rnacentral:rRNA from 1 species
GACGAACGCUGGCGGCGUGCUUAACACAUGCAAGUCGAACGGAAAGGCCCUGCUUUUGUGGGGUGCUCGAGUGGCGAACGGGUGAGUAACACGUGAGUAACCUGCCCUUGACUUUGGGAUAACUUCAGGAAACUGGGGCUAAUACCGGAUAGGAGCUCCUGCUGCAUGGUGGGGGUUGGAAAGUUUCGGCGGUUGGGGAUGGACUCGCGGCUUAUCAGCUUGUUGGUGGGGUAGUGGCUUACCAAGGCUUUGACGGGUAGCCGGCCUGAGAGGGUGACCGGCCACAUUGGGCCUGAGAUACGGCCCAGACUCCUACGGGAGGCAGCAGUGGAGAAUAUUGCACAAUGGGCGGAAGCCUGAUGCAGCAACGCCGCGUGCGGGAUGACGGGCUUCGGGUUGUAAACCGCUUUCGCCUGUGACGAAGCGUGAGUGACGGUAAUGGGUAAAGAAGCACCGGCUAACUACGUG